CUUGCAAUUCGAUUUCAGCUAUGCAGGGAAGGGAGACAAUAGCAUUUUCUUCUCUUUAUUCAGGCUGAUUCCUUUUUAAACCAUAUUAAAAUGCAUCAGAACUGCCAGCCAUUAUAAAGCUCUGAGAUACCAAGCAAAUGAGAUUAACACUGUAGGAUGCACAAAACAAGCAUGUAGCUGGAAGACUGGUCAGCUACUACUGCCAACUUUGGUGAGUUGCCUUUUAUUUCUGACCUGGAAUCAAUUACAGGGCUGCAUGCAUUUGGUUGGCAGAGAUGA
rnacentral:lncRNA from 1 species